AAGCGGAGGAAAAGAAACUAACAAGGAUUCCCCUAGUAACUGCGAGUGAAGCGGGAAAAGCUCAAAUUUAAAAUCUGGCAGCCUUUGGUUGUCCGAGUUGUAAUCUAGAGAAGUGUUAUCCGCGCUGGACCGUGUACAAGUCUCCUGGAAUGGAGCGUCAUAGAGGGUGAGAAUCCCGUCUUUGACACGGACUGCCAGGGCUUUGUGAUGCGCUCUCAAAGAGUCGAGUUGUUUGGGAAUGCAGCUCAAAAUGGGUGGUAAAUUCCAUCUAAAGCUAAAUAUUGGCGAGAGACCGAUAGCGAACAAGUACCGUGAGGGAAAGAUGAAAAGAACUUUGGAAAGAGAGUUAAACAGUACGUGAAAUUGCUGAAAGGGAAACGCUUGAAGUCAGUCGCGUUGUCCAGGGAUCAACCUUGCUUUUGCUUGGUGCAUUUUCUGGUCGAUGGGUCAGCAUCAAUUUUGACUAUUGGAAAAAGAUUAGGGGGAUGUGGCAUCUUUGGAUGUGUUAUAACCCUUGGUUGUAUACAAUGGUUGGGAUUGAGGAACUCAGCACGCCGCAAGGCCGGGUUUUUAACCACGUACGUGCUUAGGAUGCUGGCAUAAUGGCUUUAAUCGACCCGUCUUGAAACACGGACCAAGGAGUCUAACAUGCCUGCGAGUGUUUGGGUGGAAAACCCGAGCGCGUAAUGAAAGUGAAAGUUGAGAUCCUUGUCGUGGGGAGCAUCGACGCCCGGACCAGACCUUUUGUGACGGUUCCGCGGUAGAGCAUGUAUGUUGGGACCCGAAAGAUGGUGAACUAUGCCUGAAUAGGGUGAAGCCAGAGGAAACUCUGGUGGAGGCUCGUAGCGAUUCUGACGUGCAAAUCGAUCGUCAAAUUUGGGUAUAGGGGCGAAAG
rnacentral:rRNA from 1 species